ensembl:lncRNA
CCGGCGCGCGCUCCUGGCGGGAAGGGCCGUAGAGCCGUGCGGGCGGGCGUCUGUCCCCCGACAGCGCAGGCUCCUGCCGCUUCCCAGGAUCGCAGCCUGGGGCUGUAGCUGUGUCAGACGCCUCCCCGCCCCGAGACAGAGGGGAGACCGGGCCGAGGCGAGGAAAGCUGCUGCAGCCUGCUUCCCCCUCCCCCCCAAACGAAAACCAGCCAGCGCUGCCCGACACAAAUGCAGUCUCGCCCGGGUUCCUACACCUGUUUUUUGAAAUGAAGAGGUUACAGUCACCAUUUGAAAACUGAGGAGCUGGCAAUGAAAUUCUCAAACAUACUGGAGAUUUUUAUUACUGUAUAUUCAAUUAGUGGGAAAAGUUGUAUCUUGAUUUUUUGAAUUUGUAUCUGAUCUCUGCUAGGUUUGUAAAUGGAGAACUACAAGAAAUAUACUGAAUUCUUAAAUGUGUUGUCCUAUGUAAACGGUUGAAUUACAAUGAACUUUUCUGAAUGAAUUAGUCUAAAUUUUUGUGUCUCCCAAACAAUUUAUUCAUCAUGUACAAGGAUACAAGUUAGAAAAAAAAUAACAGCAAUAAAACAAGGUGAUGCAAGACUGUUUUGUACAAACCAAAAGGAAUUAAGUGAUUUCCAGAAUUAUUAUAAAGACAAAAAAAGAUCAAGUUUCAAUAUUUUAUUCAAGUUGGGUUUUUGUUUAUUUCAUUUUAAGUAGUGUCAAACACAGCAUUUUGGGAUCUAGUUCCACACCAAAUGGAAGACUAAAAAUGUACCCAUUCAAUUGCUAAAAAAGGUGGUCAUAAAACAAAAGUCCAUUUUAAAUUCAGAAUGAUGUUAUGUGAUAACAGUUACAAAGACUCUUCCCUGCUUAUGGCUCUGUCUUGCAAGCUUUUCCAUGUUUAGUGCAAGGGAAAGGAACCACAACACAAGACAAGUAUUGACUGAGUGACAUCAAACCUGCACACCAAAAUUAUACAAGGUGAACAAUCUAAAGCACUCUAAAGACAACUGUAGGGUAAGAUAACUAAAUAAGACAAACAGUUAAUGAAAUAUUUCUCUAAAAAUAUCUUUUUUCCUGACAAUUUUGCACACUUCAUCAUGGACUGAAAUUUUGAUAAGUUAAUAUUCAAAAACUAUGCUUCUUGAAUUAAGAGUUCACUAUAGUGGAUCACAAUCUCCAGUCAUAGUUUCUAAUCAUAUUGUUUGUCCUUAUAUAGCCAUUACUCUAGAAUAGGUCAUCAGUAUCUUCAUAUCCCUUGUAAUGUAAUUAGCAGCUCUGAUGGGCAACAGCCUUCCAAAAAAAGCCUGGAAUUAGGGGUUUGUUUUUUUAAGUUUUCUUCUUUUCUUCUCAAAGAAUAAUACUUUAAAGCUUAGCUGUCUUUAACGAGGUUUAACAUGAUAUACAUAACAAUACUUGCAUCCCAGACAUAAAACAUUGAAAGGUUCACUAAAUUCUGAAGGUAGCUAUGCUGUAAAGUAUUUUCAAAUUAGUGACUGUACAAUCCCUUUUUAUGCUUCAAAUUCCAAUCCUAGACCAAGUUUGUGUCCACCCGCAUUGACAUUCUUGCCAUCCAAUAAAGCCGACAAUGUCAGUUUGAUACCUGCAUAAGUGAACAAUGAGAGAGAGAAAGUAAAACCUGGAAUAUAGGCACCACAUAAAAUAAAGAGUGUGUAUAUUCUGCUUCUCUGUAUUGGCUGACUGAUAAUAUAAUUUGGUUGUAUGGCGGUAAUUAUUCUUGAAAGGAUUGUUCUUUUAAAAUACUUGAAGACUGCCUGAAAUGGUGGAUGUGCAUCCUUUUUGCUCUUCUAUCAAAAGAAAUAAUGAACACAACAACUUAGGGCUAAAUUCUGCUAUGUUUA